rnacentral:tRNA from 1 species
GGAAAUGUAAUUUAAUUUGGUUAAAAUGAAUGCUUGUCGAGCAUUUUAUUGUGGGUUCAAGUCCCAUCAUUUCCG